rnacentral:snRNA from 1 species
CCUGGAAAGGGGCGCCAGA